rnacentral:lncRNA from 1 species
CCGCUUUUAUUUUGAAGACUGGACAUUUCCUGUCUCGUCUUGCCGAACUUCGGCUGACUUGACGCAGCUUGCGAAGCCGUGGCCGCAUCGCAGAGAAGUGAAGUUGAGCAUCCUGCAGUCAUUCACAAUCGGAGGACAACACCACCUGCUACCAGAUCUUCCUGUUGAGAAGACAGAAGAAUCCUAUCAGCUGAGUCAACUGAGCGUCAGACUGUGUGGCAGCAAAGACUGGCUGAGUGCUUCAUGAUGGGAUACUUUCGGUCAGCAUGGCAGAGGACUUCCUCCACAGCACAUGACAUAUCACGGCUGCAUUUUUUGAUGCCGCCGUUCUACAUUUGAUGGCAUCAUUGUGUGCUCAAGCGAUAAAGUUUAAGUGAAAAUUAUGAAGUCAACUAAAGUGGAUGUAAUUUGAUAGAAUUCACUCACAUUAAACUUAUUAUCCAGUUAAUGAUUUGGCUUGCACUCCGUAGCCUGGCACAGGCAGACGCAUCCCACGUGUC